CACUGGCCACUCACCCAACUACUCUUUCCUCCCUUUAAAGCAAAGCAAAGAUAGUUUUUGGAGGACGAAGGCGAACGUAGCAGUGGAAGUGGGAGUAGGGAGCUUAAUUUGGGCUUUUGAUAUGGGUGCGUCACAUCUGACAAUAUCAGUGCUCAACCUUUCCCCUAUAGUAACCUGUGCAGAUGUUUUCAGUUUCUUCUCCUACUGUGGAGCAGUUGACAAAAUCGAGUUAGUGAGAAAUGAAGACGAAUCACAGAUGGCUUUUGUGACAUUCAGGCAGCAUUACGCCCUUCAAACUGCUCUUCUCUUAAACGUACGCAAAAUGCCGUCAUUGUAGACCACCCAAUCCGUAUACUCCCUCCGCAAAGCCAAAAUUUAGACAAUACAAGUCGCCAGCAGAAAAGGAGAAGGCGGCAUUACUCUGUGGUGCAACAACUACAACAAGAUAUGGGUGGAAAAGGAUAUCAAGCUUUGAACAUGAAGAAUGCGCAGGAAGAGAUAGAGGUGAAUUACAAGCUGUCAGAGAAAGGCAGAGUUGUCCUGAGUCUAGAGGGAAGACUGACCAUAUCUGCAUCAGAUCACACAAGGAGGGGAGUAGUUGGAUCAAUAAUCAUGGACAAUGAAUACUUGUCAGCUGUAGCUGUUGGGCUAGAUAAGGCAGCCAAGUGUGUGGCUCAACUGGCCAACUACGACCAGAUUAGGCACCCUUACUCCAAGUGUGUGGUCUUGUAACAUGCAUGAGAAUUGAGAUUUCCUCUCCUAUUUAAUUAAUUAAAACAGCCCAUGUGAUUAUGUGAACUGAAGGCUCUCUACCCAGUACCUCUGUACCUACCCACGUUGCCAAUUCCAUACUCUGACUGACUCGACCAGGCUUCACCCUUCAGACAAUCUUAAACAUCACCUCGACCAUAACAUCGAUCCCUGAUCCCCGGCCCCAUUGUUUUUUAUUAUUUAUCCAAAGGUGAGUUCCACCAUUUGGGUCGUUCAAUUCAAAUUCAGUAUAUAAUGAGCAGAACCGGCCGGUUUGAAAAAUUCUAAGCACAACCCGGAUGGUAUUAUUAAUGGGGCAGGAACAGGAACACUACUCAUCUGCUUUUUAUUUUAUUUUUAUGAUGUUGUGUAAGGAAGCAUGCCACUGUCAAAAGCAAUCAAAUUUAUUUUCGUUUUUAGAUACACAUGUUUAAGUUGUGGACAAUUUUUCAGUACGUAUCUACAAGUA